UUUCGAAUAGAUUAUUCCUUUAAAUUAUUUUCAGAGGCUGUAAAUCCGAACAAUCUUUUGAACACUUGUUGUCACGGUGCAUUAUGUGAUGAUGGUUAUGUGUUGGACCUGGAAAACUCCAUCUGUUCGUGCAGACGUUUAUGUCCGAGCACAAAAUGCAGUGGCGCAUCAAGAACAGUAGGCUGGAUGAAAAUGGAAAGUUCGAUCUUUCUGCUUGUCUUCUACAUUUCAUCACAGAUUUACACACAGCUCUGAACAAUAUGAAAAUGUUGUCAUUAAAUUUCUCUUUUAUUGUAUUUACGUAAUAAAGAUAUAUAUAUGCAUUCUUUA